AUGUUAAAUGGUUCUCUUGAUGGUCAUCUGUUUAAGAAGAGCAAUAAUGUUGAUGCUGUUGUGCUAAACUGGAACACCAGAUAUCAGAUAUCCCUAGGAAUUGCCAGAGGAUUGUCCUACUUGCAUCAGAGUUGUCGCGAGUGCAUCAUACACUGCGAUAUUAAGCCAGAGAACAUACUUGUGGAUGCAGCAUUUGUUCCUAAAGUCGCAGACUUUGGAUUGGCAGCAUUUGUGGGGAGGGAUUUCAGCCGAAUUCUGACUUCAUUCAGAGGAACGAUAGGUUAUCUUGCCCCAGAGUGGCUUAGCGGAGUGGCGAUCACACCGAAAGUCGACGUUUAUGGCUUCGGCAUGGUACUGCUAGAAAUUAUAUCAGGAAGGAGGAAUUCCUCACCGGAAAUAUCACACAGCACUGAGAGCAGCAGCAACAGUUACCAACAUCACGAAUAUUUCCCUGUGCAAGCCAUCAAGAAGCUUCACGAGGGAGAUGUGAAGAGUUUAAUGGAUACACAAUUGCAUGGUGACUUCAAUUUGGAAGAGGCUGAAAGGGUUUGCAAAGUUGCAUCUUGGUGCAUCCAAGAUAGUGAGUUUGAUCGGCCGACUAUGAGUGAAGUGGUUCGUGUUCUCGAGGGUCUACAGGAGAUUGAUAUACCCCCAAUGCCAAGACUCCUUGCAGCUAUGAUGGAACAAUCUGAUGCUGCAACUUCAAUGUAA
rnacentral:rRNA from 1 species